AGUUGCUGACCAAACCCAGAAGCUGGUGGGAGUGCUUCUCUUUCAGCCCCUGCGGAUAUCCCUGGCCAUCCACCUGUGGCUGGACAGUCCCUGUGCCUGCUGUGUGGGGUCACUGUAAUUCCUUAGAGUCUUGGAGAUCUGACAAACUGCCCAUAAAACGUGCUGCCCCACCCAUUGCCUUUCUUCGGUAAAGGUUAAAGGAACAGGGGGUAAGAAUUCUCUCUCCUUUUCACUGAUGUUAUUGAUUUCCAGAAUGUAACAAAAAUAUAUCUGAUAGAUACAUAAAUAUGUAGGUAAUAAAUACUAGUUCUCACCCCUCCCAUUUCUCUCUCUCUCAGCAAAUAAAAAAAGAUUGAAAGAAAAUACACCAAAUUGGUAAA
rnacentral:lncRNA from 10 species